UACAGAGGUCCCAAGCGUUGUUCGGAUUCACUGGGCGUAAAGGGUGCGUAGGCGGUCGGGUAAGUCUGAUGUGAAAUCUCACAGCUUAACUGUGAAACUGCAUUGAUACUAUCCGGCUAGAGGAUUGGAAGGGAGACUGGAAUACUUGGUGUAGCAGUGAAAUGCGUAGAUAUCAAGUGGAUCACCAGUGGCGAAGGCGAGUCUCUGGACAAUUCCUGACGCUGAGGCACGAAAGCCAGGGGAGCAAACGGG
rnacentral:rRNA from 1 species